UACGGGGGGGGGCAAGCGUUGUUCGGAAUUACUGGGCGUAAAGGGCUCGUAGGCGGCCAACUAAGUCAUACGUGAAAUCCCUCGGCUUAACCGGGGAACUGCGUCUGAUACUGGAUGGCUUGAGUUCGGGGAGAGGGAUGCGGAAUUCCAGGUGUAGCGGUGAAAUGCGUAGAUAUCUGGAGGAACACCGGUGGCGAAGGCGGCAUCCUGGACCGAGUACUGACGCUGAGGAGCGAAAGCCAGGGGAGCAAAGCGGG
rnacentral:rRNA from 1 species